UAAGUGGCGAGAGCGUGUGUGACGAAGUACACCCCUGCAGGGUUAUGAUCUAUUCGAAUAGCCGCGUCCGCGGAUAUGGACUACUUGAAGACAUAUGUUGUUCAUAGAUAACUUCAAUGGCUACUCAUAAAAUUGUCAAGAUAAGCGUGAGUGUCGUGGACGGCAUUUCCGUAUGGAGACGGAAUGAUUCCACGAUGGAGUAUUCUUGUGGUGUUAGUGGAC
rnacentral:lncRNA from 1 species